GUCUAUGGCCAUACCAUCCUGAACGCGCCCGAUCUUGUCUGAUCUCGGAAACCUAAUUUAAACUGGCCCAUAUGUUUUGAGAGAACAUGAAUAAAUAGCGCUUGAUU
rnacentral:rRNA from 1 species